GACGAACGCUGGCGGCGUGCUUAACACAUGCAAGUCGAACGGAAAGGCCCCUUCGGGGGUACUCGAGUGGCGAACAGGUGAGUAACACGUGAGUAACCUGCCCUUGACUUCGGGAUACCUUCAGUAAACUGGGGCUAAUACCGGAUAGGAAUCCUUGCUGCAUGGUGGGGGUUGGAAAGCUUCGGCGGUUUUGGCUGGACUCGCGGCUUAUCAGCUUGUUGGUGGGGUAGUGGCUUACCAAGGCUUUGACGGGUAGCCGGCCUGAGAGGGGGAGCGGCCACAUUGGGACUGAGAGACGGCCCAGACACCUACGGGGGGCAGCAGUGGGGAAUAUUGCACAAUGGGCGGAAGCCUGAUGCAGCAACGCCGCGUGCGGGAUGACGGCCUUCGGGUUGUAAUCCGCUUUCAGCAGGGGCGAAGCUUGUGGUGACGGUACCUGCAGAAGAAGCACCGGCUAACUACGUG
rnacentral:rRNA from 1 species